GGAGCACCACAAGGGGUGAAGCCUGCGGUUCAAUUGGAGUCAACGCCGGGAACCUUACCAGGAGAGACAGCAGAGUGAAGGUCAAGCUGAAGACUUUACCAGACAAGCUGAGAGGAGGCGCAUGGCCGUCGACAGCUCGUGCCGUGAGGCGUCCUGUUAAGUCAGGCAACGAGCGAGACCCUUAUCAUUAAUUGCUACCAUCGAUCGCAAGGUUGGCGGAGCUAAUUAACGGGACUGCCGUCGAUAAGACGGAGGAAGGAAGGGGCCACGGCAGGUCAGUAUGCCCCGAAACUCUUGGGCCACACGCGGGCUGCAAUGGUAGGCACAAUAGGCACCAACUUCGAAAGGAGGAGGCAAUCCCUAAAUCCUACCCCAGUUGUGAUUGAGGGCUGCAACUCGCCCUCAUGAAUCUGGAAUCCCUAGUAAUCGCGUGUCAACAUCGCGCGGUGAAUACGUCCCUGCUCCUUGCACACACCGCCCGUCGCUUCAUCCGAGUUGGGUUUACGCGAGGUGGUGCCUUUUUGGUAUUAUCGAACGCGAGCUCAGCAAGGAGGGAGAAGUCGUAACAAGGUGGCCGUAGGGGAACCUGCGGCCG
rnacentral:rRNA from 1 species